rnacentral:misc_RNA from 1 species
UCACGGGUCGGAACGCGACCCCUCCACCCCUCGUCGAACAACAUCACCACCACCACGGUUGACGACCNAACGCGAAUCGUCCAGCGCCACCGAACCGACUGGCAGUCGAAGUUUGACUGCUUUGGCUUGCGGANGUGUGUUCACCGUCGCUACUACUACGCCCCCCAAUCGAUAACGACACCGUUCGUUUUCGUGUGCCGAUUCGAACGUGAACCGUUCGCGCCUCAAACGUUCAUUCGUUUCCAGUCGAUUCCAGCGAUCCACGACCGUCCCGAGAGACUUGGGAGACGCGCGACCAGAACGACUUAAACAACAACAAACAACAAUGGAAGAAGACCAAAAUGGCGUCGUCGCCGCCGCAGUAGUCGGGAGGCCGCCGAACAGCGAAACCUGCGGAAUGAUCGUCAACCACAGUGGUGGCGAGGAGGGCCCGACGCCAACGGCUGCGGCUGCAGCGCCGCCGACACCAGCGCUCCCAGCGGCGGCGGCGGCAACAGCGUUCGGAGCUCCGGCGCGCCCAGCGCCGCGGUACGGCGCCCAUCUCAACUUCAACAAUAACAAUUCGGUCAUCAAAGGGCAGCUUAAUAAGGGUCCCGGUAAUCUAGAUCACAGAAAUAGACGUACACGUCGUGGCAAACGUAAAAGCAGAAAGCAAACGCCAUACAUGAAGGAUGGGAUGUUAUAUCGAGACAAAGCUGUCGCUCCCAACAAUACUAAUCAGUUUUUGAUGGACGAUCAUAAUGAUGGACCAGACAUAGAUAAAAAACUGUUAGCACGGUACAGCAAUGAAAAUGGACGUACAAGAAAUUCAAGUUACACUAGUGUCGAAUCAGAAGGUGAACAGAUGUAUUCUUCAUCAGAUGAUGAUGGGACUUCAAUACAAAAGGAAUUUAUUGAUACCUAUAGACUUAUUCAAGAAGAACAAUUGUCAGGGUUGACUCCAAGUGAACUCGUUCAACGAGUGAUUGAGCUUGAAGAAAAACUACAAACACAACAAGAGUCUAAGAGGUUUAAAAAAAAUAUGAUUACAUAUUCAAACGGCAUACCUAAAGAAGAAGAUGAAGAUAAUUUUAUUGAUAUAGAAGAAUAUAGAUCAUUGCAAGUACAGAAUAGAGAAUUGAUGACACAAAACAAACUGCUGCAAGCUGAAAUUGAAACUCUUAAACAAAUACAAAGCAAAACAAUAAAUAAUGAUUCAGAUAGCUCUGUAGAUAGUGAGAGUUCAUCAGACUCCAGUAGCUCUUCCAGUUCAUCAGAUGGACAAGAAAUAGAAAUGAAGUUCUUAGUACGGAGUAGUGAAAGAAAUGAUUGAUCAAUCAAGUACCAAAAUAAAGUUUAACAUGAAUUGUGAAGUUUGGCAGUGAUCACUUUAAUUAUGGAAUUUGGUGAUAACUUGUACAUAACAAAACCACCAGGAAUAGAACUUAUUCAAUCAUAUAAGAGAGAAAUAUUAAAUUUUCUCCAUUAGGAUAAAAAUUUGUCAAAAUAUCAAGACUGUUGCUGAUGAAAUUCUAACAGCUGUAGAAAAAUGACAGCAACUGGUGUAGUAUUGACGUCAGAAAUAAAUUGUUUGCAAAAUAAACAUCAUAGAAGGUUUAUGGACUAAGGUGUCUACUAAUNAUCCUUGAAGCCAAAAGCUGUAUAGAUUGAUUGAUUCAGAACUCUUUUUCUGAAAGCCAAAACGUGUGGUCAAAUAUCUCCAGGAAUUCACAUUACGGAUAUAUAAUUAUUAUAAACAGAUAAAUGCAUUUUAUUUGUGCAUGAUAAUUAUUUCUCAACUAUACAUCUGGAUUAAAAAAUAUAUUGAAGUUUUAAAUUCCAACAACUAGUAUUUUUAAUGAACAAUUUUAAGUGA